rnacentral:lncRNA from 1 species
GGUUGUCUCCUGAGCCCGUCAAAAGGAGUGAAUCUGUAAGAGGGUAGUUGGCCUUCGCCUAUUGAAGGAAGGCUCCUAGUUGACGUCGGCGACCUCGUCGGUGGAGGAAGCCAAAAGUGGAGUAGGUCAAGGCUGACCGAACCACUCUAAAUCUCUGGUUUGCAUUUAUUUUUGAGCACUUUAUCAUUACUGCAAACCUCCUUCAUUACUACUGCUCUCUGCGCUUUCACGAACAAGUUCUAAGUGCUGUUCUUCCGAAUCUGCAUUCAGACGUAAAUUCAUAUUUUCGUACAUUACAGUUUACGUUUACGUUUGAUUCUGCAGAACUGUCUUCCGUGCUUUUACGAACGAGUUCUGUGCAGUUUACGUUCACAUCUUAAUUCCAUUUACAAACUGCAAACUGCUCUCUGCGCUUUUACGAA